AAUGUGCAUACGAGAGAGAUUAUCUUGCCAUUUUUACAACCCCAGAAACAAGCCUUUGUAUAAAUCCUAUAUACCCAAUGAUGCAAGACUUGCGACCAUGUCUUAACAGUAUAUACUUGAAACUUGAUAACUACUCAAAGAUAUUGCGACCCCUGAUGAAAUCUGUCGUGGACCACGAAAUCACAACGGAUGUGUCCAAAGAAUCUUUCUGCACAACAUAUGAUCAGAUUUUGGAUGAAACAGUCGAAGAAUUCAGAAGAUGUCCU